UUUGUUCAGCUUGAUUUACUGUUUAAAGGCAUUAUCUAUUGGUUGUACCAGUGGGUAUGAGAUUGAAUUUAGGGAACAGGGUUGACACAGCAGGUCCUAGUCCUGCAUAUUUUUUCUUAAAUAUUUCCCAAUUGUGUUUUUCAUUAUUUCUUUUCAAUAUAUAACUUUUAUAACAAAUUAUUAGCUUUGAUCUUGUAGUUUAAAAUUGCAGGGAACUGGGGUAAUCUUUUACUGAGCUGGAUCUUAGAGAAAAUGAAUAUUUAAAAUUUUAAAGUUUGCACAUUUCAUCUUUGUCCUAACACGAGUGCUUGUAAACAAAAAAAAAAGAGAGAAAAGCCAAAAACUACCUUUGUCCACCAUACAUGAAAUGAUCGAUGAGGCAUAUGAAAUUUCGUGUAACGCUUCCCUUCCCUCCCCAGAUGUCAUCUGACUGCCUAUUAUUAUCUGGUGUCACCUAUUCCAUUGCAACUUAAUACUGAAAGGAAAAGAAAGCACUUACGUUUCACAGAAGCCGUUAUGUUUGUAGUAAUGGGUCAUUGCGUAUUGAUGAGCUCCACCCCUGUACACAGAAUGAAGAAUAAUGCAUGUUGAUUUCUUGUAUUAAAGAUGCCGUGAUUUGUAAAAAGUCUGUAUUUUGCGGAAUGUCUGGAUUAAGAAGCAUUACCAAUAGGAAUGGAUCGAUAGUUGAUUAAUUAAUGAUUUUUUUAUAUAUAGAUAUAUAAAUUGCAUCAAUGGUCAGAAACCUUUUUUUUUAAUAGAUGUAAAAUGUAAAUUUUUCUUUCAAAAUGUCUCUCAAGUUUUUUGUUUGUUUUUUUUUUUCUUCCCAAGGCUGAUUGAUCUUAGACCAAGUCAAGUUCCCAUUUUCCAUCUAGCUAUUUUUUGAGAAGAGGAAUAAUUUGUAAAUAUUUAUUUAGAUCAUUGAUAUUUAUUAAAAGCAAUCACACCCACGGAAGUGAAAGAAUCGGGAGAAAAGCCUUUUAAAAAGUUUUCUCUGGGUUUGGUCAGGGUCACUCUAAAGAUGAAAAUGUCACAAAGUCUUCUGUGAAAUAUCAUUAAAUCCUGUUCUUUUUUGCAUACACAGUGGUGACACAACCAAAUAAACUCCUGCCAACUAAUCCACACUAUUUUUUGGAGCGUCCCAGUAGCCCCAGGGAAACCAAUGCAGCAGGAGUUACACAGCAACACUUGUAAGGAUAAAGGUGCCUGGGUAAUCGGUGUGUGUUGCCACUGGGUUGUGAUGCCAGUGAAGUAGAUCGCAACCGAGGAAUAUAAGCCCUGUUUGAUUUUUUUUAAAUUUCUAGAACUUCGAUCCACCCCUAUGAAAGCAAGUUAUUGUGGAAAUAUUUUUGGUGUAAAAUCAUUCCAGAGUAUGUAAUAUUUAACUGAUAGCUGCAUGAAAGUAAGAUUCGUGUUACUUUGGCUUUUUUGUCUCUGUUGACACGGUUGCACAUUUCCAAGUUACUACAGCGUGAAAACUGUGUGUUUAAAAAAAAAAAAGAAAACAACAAAAAAAAAUAAGAGAUUGUGGCCUGGUUUUGUAUAAGUUUUAGGUAAAAUUACAAUUGAUUGUUUUAGGAAUCAUUAUUAAAAAUUAAUUUUCUGCAAAUCAUAAAGCUAUAUUAAGGUGUUGAGCUUAGCCACUCUGCACAUUGUAAUUAUUCAUUGUGGCUGUCCAGUUCUAUGAUGCAUUCUGGCAUUUUGUAAGCUGCUCUGACUAGCAAUAUAUAGAGUCAUUUAAUGUGUUAACAUUGGUUAAUAAAUGUAUUUAAAAAACCACUGGCUUUUUGAAAGUGUCGAGUUUGAAGAGAGGUUAAUUAGGUAGUCUGCUGCCAGCCCCAGCUUCAUGUUCAUUGUGGGAUUUUGAGUUAUUUGUAUCCAAGGCCUCUAGCCACUUUGUCAGAAACCAUUUUUCUGAACUAAGGGUAACUUCUUAUAAAGGAAUUCUUCGGGAAGUGACUGAAGAGGCUGGGGUUAUACAAGGGGAGUCCUCACUGCCUUCCAGUUUGAGAAUCUAAACCUCCAGGUAUGCCGUCCCACCCUGAGAAUGAGCAUGCCCCUGCUCGGUUGAUGAAGCUGAAAAUCUAAGAACAUUAGCCUGGGUUAAGGAGUGGGGGAAAGAGAGAAGCAGCCAAGAAGCAAAGCCUCCAUCUGUGUGUUUUGUGCUGGCUAGCGUGGGCUUUUUUUUAACCUUCCACUUGAACCUUGAGGGAUGAGUUUAACCCACAGCAGCUUUGGUUCCUGUCAGGUGAGUAGAAAUGGGGUCUGAACUAUUGAUUGGGCUAAGCACAUCUCUCACUGUUGCCUAAAUUUGCUCACUUUGGUGAGGAAGCAUUUUUGCAGGCUUCAGUUUGUUCAUCUGUGUAUCUUUUCAGAUGCACCCCUUCAGACGCGGGAGUGAAGUCCUGGACAGCCGCCGAAGGAUCAUCGGGCUUCAGUCUUGGCAGUCUGCGGUUGUGUUACCCAGGCCCACGCUUUGUUUGCUGUGAGAGAGAGUUCUGAAACAUACAGUGCAUUCGGCAUUUCAUUGGUCGUUCUUCAUAUUCAAAGAAGAUACCACUGAUGGUGAGAUUCACCCAGGAGCGUACGUGUGGCCGACAAGACCGAUGUGAAAUCCGAAGUUCCUGUCACACUGAGCACAUUAAAAAGGUCUUCAGUUUGACAACUUCAGUGGUGAGAGAAGACGAUCAAAAAUCGGAGCUGUCGAUUGCAGACCCUAGGGUAUGUUUAAGCACCCUGAUUUUCUUUUCCCCUAAUUCCCACCUCCCAACUUUUUAGAUUAGUAUGAAGCUAUUACUUUGCACCACUCUGCAUCCAAGGAUUUGAUCUAUUCAUAUCCUUAUAUAAGAGAUGGAAUAAAAGUUUUCCGAGUCAAUCA